UGGAAGAGCUGGCCUCUGAGCAGCAGCUGACUGCCCUGGCAGGAGCUGCAGGAACUCCAGCACAGACAGGCCUCAGGGAACCUGAAUAACCACUUCUUGGACCUGAGGUUGCAAGGUUUAUGGAGUCUGUUCUUCCAGUAUUCAAAACCCGCAGGCAGAGUUCUUACCAACUGACUUGAGUCUGCCUCCUGGAACCACAGCGAUCCUAGCCCAACAUACCCCAACUGUUUUUACAGAUGGGGAAACAGAGGAUCAGAAGGAACAGCUCUCUGGUCCUCAGCUUACCCAGCUGUCAAAUGAUGGAGUCAUCUGUGAUCUGCCAGGUUCCUUCCACCUUCCAUAGAUAUAC